rnacentral:sRNA from 1 species
UGGAAGUUAAUUUUAGAUCAAGAAUCUAUAGAAUCUAGUUUAGAUCUAGUGUAGUUCACUGUUUAGAUUUAUUUCUUGUGUCUCCUCCUUAAGUCUAGAUCUAAGAUCUAGAUUCUAGAUUGCGAUAGUAAAAUGUUAGAAUGAGUCCGCUUAGGCUUAAUAGACUGUAGUUCACAAUUGGUCGAAAAAUGUUUAAUUCUAUG